AUCCAGCUGACGAAUCCCAAAAUAGGGCGAAACGCGCCUUGUCCUGGAU
rnacentral:hammerhead_ribozyme from 1 species